CCUACGGGGGGCAGCAGUGAGGAAUAUUGCGCAAUGGGCGAAAGCCUGACGCAGCGACGCCGCGUGAGGGAUGAAGGUCUUCGGAUCGUCAACCUCUGUCAGCAGGGAAGAACGGUCACUGUGCUAAUCAGCAGUGAAUUGACGGUACCUGCAACGGAAGCACCGGCUAACUCCGUGCCAGCAGCCGCGGUAAUACGACGGGUGCGAGCGUUAAUCGGAAUUACUGGGCGUAAAGCGCUCGUAGGCGGUAUGUCAAGUACCGGGUGAAAUCCCCGCGCUCAACGUGGGAACUGCCUUUGAAACUGGCAAACUGGAGUGUGUGAGAGGAGAGGGGAAUUACAGGUGUAGGAGUGAAAUCCGUAGAUAUCUGGAGGAACAUCAGUGGCGAAGGCGACUAUCUGGCACAUAACUGACGCUGAGGAGCGAAAGCGUGGGUAGCAAACAGGAUUAGAUACCCUUGUAGUC
rnacentral:rRNA from 1 species